GAUGAAGAACGUAGCGAAAUGCGAUAAGUAAUGUGAAUUGCAGAAUUCAGUGAAUCAUCGAAUCUUUGAACGCACAUUGCGCCCGCCAGCAUUCUGGCGGGCAUGCCUGUUCGAGCAUCAUUUCAACCCUCGAGCCCCCCCGGGGGCCUCGGUGUUGGGGGACGGCACACCAGCCGCCCCCGAAAUGCAGUGGCGACCUCGCCGCAGCCUCCCCUGCGUAGUAGCACACACCUCGCACCGGAGCGCGGAGACGGUCACGCCGUAAAACGCCCAACUUCUUAGAGUUGACCUCGGAUCAGGUAGGAAUACCCGCUGAACUUAAGCAUAUCAAUAAGCGGAGGA
rnacentral:misc_RNA from 1 species